UUGGGCGGGGUUUAAUGAGGUGGGCGGGGUUUAGGCGGGGUUUAAUGAGGUGGGCGGGGCUUGGGCGGGGUUUAAUGAGGUGGGCGGGGCUUAGGCGGGGUUUAAUGAGGUGGGCGGGGUUUGGGCGGGGUUUAAUGAGGUGGGCGGGGCUUAGGAGGGGUUUAAUGAGGUGGGCGGGGAUUG